UACAGAGGGUGCAAGCGUUAAUCGGAAUUACUGGGCGUAAAGCGUCCGUAGGUGGCUAGUCAAGUCUGCGGUCAAAGACUGGGGCUUAACCCUGGAAAGGCCGUGGAAACUGACGAGCUAGAGUGCAGUAGGGGUAGAGGGAAUUCCCGGUGUAGCGGUGAAAUGCGUAGAGCUCGGGAAGAACAUCGGUGGCGAAAGCGCUCUACUGGACUGCAACUGACACUCAGGGACGAAAGCUAGGGGAGCGAAUGGG
rnacentral:rRNA from 1 species